UGUAGGAAGUAGCCCAGGACGACAGCAGUAAAGAUUAGGACUGUGCAGACCUGGACUGCUUGUUGUAGGGUCCCUGGGCUGGAACCCAGGGUAGAGGCUGGGUCUGGGUUUCCCUGCCAGCCACUGGAGUAGCUUUACUGAGGGGCAGUGAACUGGAAGGCUGCCUGGGAUGGCAGUGAGACUUUGGUGCACAAACCUCCCUGGAAGGGGAAAACUACAGUGACCUGGCUGAAGGGCCAAGCAAUGAAGAGGAAGCAGGGGUUGGACUAGCUGAUCCUUGUGGUCCCUUCUAACCCUAUGGUUCUCUGAGUCCCGAGAAAGAGAAGGAGUGAGCACUGGCAGGAAGGGGCGUCAGACAGGCAGAGCUAAUCCACAGCCAGGAGGAGGUGCCCCAGUGGGCCUUUCUGCUGGCUUGCUCGCGGGCACUGGGUGCAGAGAUGCUGAAGACGCCAGCUGGGAGAAGCCAGCUGGUGUGACAGCUGGACUUGGACACUGGAAGGGAACAGAAAUCUGAAGUCCCCUUGCUGGAAGGCAAGGCCACGGAAGACCCAGGCAGAGACAUACUGUUGCAGGACC